rnacentral:rRNA from 1 species
CACGUAGGGGGCGAGCGUUGUCCGGAUUUAUUGGGCGUAAAGAGCUCGUAGGCGGCUCGGUAAGUCGGGUGUGAAACCUCCAGGCUCAACCUGGAGACGCCACCUGAUACUGCUGUGGCUAGAGUCCGGUAGGGGAGUGUGGAACUCCUGGUGUAGCGGUGAAAUGCGCAGAUAUCAGGAGGAACACCGGUGGCGAAGGCGGGUCUCUGGGCCGAUACUGACGCUGAGGAGCGAAAGCGUGGGGAGCGAACAGG